GGAAUAACUGUUUCAAUAAAACUAAAAAGAAAUUUCUUAAUAGGUGAAAAUUCCUUUAAUUAAAUAUAAUAGACGAGAAGACCCUAAGAGUUAUAUAUUAAAAUUAUUCAUUUAUAAAAUUUUUGUUGGGGCAACAGAUUUGGUUAAAUCAAUAAUUUUUAAAUUUGCAUAUUAAGUAUAUUUAAUAAGAACUUAAUUACCUUAGGGAUAACAGCAUUAUUAAUAUAUUAGAUUGUGACCUCGAUGUUGGACUAGGGACUUUUAAAGUAAGCCAUUUUAAAAGAUUGUUCUGUUCGAACAUAAAAC
rnacentral:rRNA from 1 species